rnacentral:snoRNA from 1 species
GUUCCUGGCCUUAAACGUGACCCGGAUCUUCCUCCGUCUUCAUUGUUUGAAUGGAGCGACUGUGAGUGUGUUUGGUGACUGCUUGAGUGAGUGAAUGUGGUGUGUUUGAGAGUGUGAGUGUCUUCUUUUUUAUUUUAAUCUUAAAACCUACACACUGAUCUUAUUUGAUCUGGUCGGAGUCCGGCUCUGCUCUGAUCGGAGAUGAUAUGAAAAGCGCUCGCAAGCCUCCGCGGCGAUGAGCAGCAGGCGAGAUGUUAACUCCCGGGGCCUCCACGCUUCGUGCUGUGGUCAGAGGUGAUGAAUUGAUCAGAUAUACUAGUUCUGGCUGAGUUUGAGUUAAUCUCAAACUUCACUAUGGACAAUGAGUAGAGAGGCGAUUCUGAUCUAA